AUUUUAUGGAAAUCAAUUUCAUCAUGUGGUUAUAACGUUAAUGUAACAAAAUAUAUCGAUAAUAUUAAGGAUAUACACAAAGCUCAUAACAUUGUAUAUAUUUUGAAUGAAGGAGGAAUAUAUAAGCAAAAACAAUUGGGAAAGAGAAUAACCGAAAAAAAAGAAUUAAAAAAAGUGAAAAACAUACAUUUUCCAAAUACUAAUCAUCGGCUUACCACUUUUGUUUAAAAUUGUGAAUGAAUUCAGGGGCGAAAAGAAAAAGCAGCAAGAAAAAAGGAGUUAAAUUAUUUUUGACUUCUAUUUUAUAUGUGCAUGCUAUGAAUACUGGAAAAUUGUAAAAAUGAUAUGGAGUUGCACCAUUCUUUUAAAAACACCAUUUGUUUUUUUUUGUAAAUCUGAGAUUUAAUUUUCAUUUUAAAUAUUUUCUGUUCGAAGAAUGUAGGACGCGGAACACUUGGUGUUAAAUAAUGAAGUUGUCGAUGAGAGUAUUAAUCAGGUAGCAUGAUUUGAAUAUAGUUGACAUAAUCAUAGGAAGAAUUUUUGGGUGUUUCGGAUUAAAAUCAAGACAUUUAUGAACGGU